CUAUAUCACAUUGAAACAUAGGUUCUCAUAUGAUCACCAAAGUUAAGCAAAAUUGAGCCUGGUCAGUAACUAGAUGGGUAACCACAUGGGAAUACCAGGUGGUGUAAG